rnacentral:lncRNA from 1 species
GUGAUGGUGAACUUAGUGAGUGGUGGUGUUCCGACGGAGAAGAGGUGGAAGAGGUGGACCUACCAUAUGUCACAUGUGUUGAAAUAUUUACUAAUAAAAAUCCUAGACUAUGUUACUAAUGUGAUAUGAGUUCAAUCAUUAUUUUUAGCUUAGAUUUAUGUUAGUGCUAAGUUUGAGAAUUAAUGCACCAUUUUUUUUUUAAUACAAAG